GAGCUGAGACUUUAACGAAUAGAGACAGGUGAGGUUCCUGCAGCCCAGGGCUUCAGCGUGAACAACCCCAGAAGGAAAAAGAGUGCUGUUGUUAAAGGUAUCUGGCAUCAUGGACCCAACCAUCACCAGGAGUUUCUCACUUCAUCUCUGCUUUAUUGUAGUAUAAUUUGCAUACAAUAAUGGCACACAUUUAAUGUGCACAGUGUGAUAAAUUUUGACAUAUGUAUACAUCCAUGAAGCCGGCACCACAAUCAAGAUAAUGAACAUCUCGCUUACCCCAGAAGUUUCCUGUGCCCUGUCACUCCUCCGUAUUCCUCCAUCCUCAGGAUUUCAUCAAAUGGUCUGCUGCACUGUGCUGGAAUUUUGAACUCCCCAGAGUAGUAAACAACAUCUUCUCAAGGGUAUACAAGUCAUCAGAUAGAGAAAACACCCAUUAUAGAGCUGUGGAGCCCUUACGAUAUAGUGCUAUGCUGCAACAAAUUAGACAGAAGAGUAUUUGUUGAAUAAUAAAAGAGUCUCACUCUAUUGCCCAGGCUGGAGUGCAGUGGCAUGAUCUCGGUACACUGCAAGCUCUGUCUCCUGAGUUCAAGCGAUUCUCAUGCCUCAGCCUCCCGAGUAGCUGGGAUUACAGUUUUCCAAUAAUAACAUAGAAAAAAGGAAGAAUUUGAGAGUUUCUCAGAUUAGGCAAUUCCUUGAAGAAUCUGAGAACACAGAAGCUCCCCUCCCUACUUUCCAUGAUUGAAAUCAGUGAUUCAUUGGUUUCUUUGUGUGGGCUUUUGAAAGAUCAUUAGAAACCAACCUGAAGAUCAUGAGAUUCUUGUGGACACAGGAGCAAUGAGUGGCAAUACAGUGCUUUCUAAUGCAACCUACUUUAAAAGUUGCUGGAAGGCAGUUCAAGUAACUGCCUUAGUAUCAAUUGUUAUUAUUUCGAAUUGGUUAUGAAGUUGAAUAAGUUUGGAGUAUCCUUAACCAUACUUUUUCUAAUCCAACCUGGAGAUGUUCCAUGAAGGAAAUUCUGGAAAUUAUGGUUCUGACUUCUUUGCAAUGUAGAGGACACCACGGAAGGGGAUGACAAGGACUUUGAGGUGACAAUAGACAGUUUGGCAUAUUUACUGCAAUCGCUCUUAUUUCUGCAGUUCUCUGAAAUAGGCAUUAUCUUCACUUUUUAGGUGAGAAAAUGGUCACUCAGAGAGGUGAU
ensembl:lncRNA SUCLG2-DT SUCLG2 divergent transcript